UACGGGGGGGGCAAGCGUUGUUCGGAAUUACUGGGCGUAAAGGGCUCGUAGGUGGCCAACUAAGUCAGACGUGAAAUCCCUCGGCUUAACCGGGGAACUGCGUCUGAUACUGGAUGGCUUGAGUUCGGGAGAGGGAUGCGGAAUUCCAGGUGUAGCGGUGAAAUGCGCAGAUAUCGGGAAGAACACCAGUGGCGAAAGCGCUCUACUGGGCCAUAACUGACACUGAGGGACGAAAGCUAGGGGAGCGAAAGGG
rnacentral:rRNA from 1 species